AUACCCCAUAUGCCGCGAGGCGAAAUGAAUUUCGCCUGAGGAUGAGCUCGCGUCUGAUUAGCUAGUUGGUGGGGUAAAGGCCUACCAAGGCAUCGAUCAGUAGCUGGUCUGAGAGGAUGAUCAGCCACACUGGGACUGAGACACGGCCCAGACUCCUACGGGAGGCAGCAGUGGGGAAUUUUCCGCAAUGGGCGAAAGCCUGACGGAGCAACGCCGCGUGAGGGAUGAAGGCCUCUGGGCUGUAAACCUCUUUUAUCAAGGAAGAAGAUCUGACGGUACUUGAUGAAUAAGCCACGGCUAAUUCCGUGCCAGCAGCCGCGGUAAUACGGGAGUGGCAAGCGUUAUCCGGAAUUAUUGGGCGUAAAGCGUCCGCAGGCGGCCCUUCAAGUCUGCUGUUAAAACGUGGAGCUUA
rnacentral:rRNA from 1 species